CUCAAUGGUAGCGUUUGGCGGGCAAGGUUUCGCCCUUGACUGUUUUCCGUGUAUAGCAGUUUUUCCACCCCGUCAAACGCUAUCGCCCCA
rfam:Haemophilus paracuniculus strain CCTG 43573 43573T_ctg_0000006, whole genome shotgun sequence.